rnacentral:rRNA from 1 species
CAGUCGCCGCGGGAAUACGUAGGUGGCAAGCGUUGUCCGGAAUUAUUGGGCGUAAAGGGCUCGCAGGCGGUUUCUUAAGUCUGAUGUGAAAGCCCCCCGCUCGACCGGGGAGGGUCAUUGGAAACUGGGAAACUUGAGUGCAGAAGAGGAGAGUGGAAUUCCACGUGUAGCGGUGAAAUGCGUAGAGAUGUGGAGGAACACCAGUGGCGAAGGCGACUCUCUGGUCUGUAACUGACGCUGAGGAGCGAAAGCGUGGGGAGCGAACAGGAUUAGAGACCCGCGUAGUCCCUGUCUCUUAUAC